ACUGGGCUGGGGCGUGACCCGUGACACGUCCUGGAUCCUACUCUGGUCCACCAAGGUUCAGAUUUUAAGUUGCAAGCAAAACUCUCACCGUCAAAGCUACAGACGCCGAUACUCGUUACUGGUUCUGCAGAAAGAACCCGGAGAACAAUUUUGUCGUCUUACUCCAUAACACGAUACCAGAUUAUGGGCUUUGGCUAGAGGAGUAGAGCUUCAAAAUUUCUGGAGAAAAAUUUGGAAUGGCGGCCGAAGCGAAACUCGUGUGCAGCUGUGGUGGGGACUCGGCAGCUGGCUUUUCCUUCCGGCGGUCGUUGAGUCCGCUACUAGCCAGCAGCCGCGUGUUUUUCCCGAAUGUGACUAGUGAUCAGAGGAGACGUCAGUUGACGGCGUUAGCAGUUGUGAAGAGAAGCCCCAAAAGGAUUAAGUACUCUGCGCCUCGUUUCACCAAGGAGGAUGGCUUGACCUAUGUUGCCGUCGAUCCAUCCGGGUCAGACUUGUGGAAAUUGGAUCCAGUGAUUGACCUUCUGAAACAGGGUGCUGUUGGAGUCAUUCCAACUGACACUGUUUAUGCAUUGGCUUGUGACCUGAGAAGCCACUCAGCUGUUGAACGUCUUCGUAGACUAAAGAAAAUAGAGGCUUCAAAGCCCCUUAGUAUUCUAUGCCGUUCCUUUCACGACAUAGAUACAUAUACAACUGGAUUUCCCCGUGGCAAUAACCAGGGCCUUACAGACAUCUUUCGAGCUGUUAAGCAAUGUUUACCCGGUCCCUACACUUUUAUUUUAACUGCGAGCAAAGCUCUACCGAGGCAAUGUACAAGAUAUGGAACUACUGCAUCAAAGUAUGUAUCAAGGAAAAAUGUAGGCGUUCGUAUACCAGAUGAUACCGUGUGCCAAGCAAUUCUGGAGAAGAUGGAUGCUCCUUUAAUAGCUACAAGUGUAAAAUCAAUGAGAGAGAGUGAGUGGAUAUUGGAUCCUGUUGUGAUAGCUGAUGUUUAUGGGCCAGAGGGCCUUGAUUUCAUUGUUGAUGCUGGUAUUAGAGUGGCUGACCCAUCGACAGUGGUUGAUAUGACUGGGAGUUCUGCCCUGAUUUUGCGGCAAGGAAAGGGUCCAAAACAGCCAUGGAUGGUUACAGAUGAUGAAGAUUCUGGAGUAAAAAGGAAAGAACUCACCCUUAAUUUUGUUUAAAGUCACUAAGACCUCAUCAAGGGAAUCCUGUACAUAAUACAAUGAUGUUGGGCUGCUAAUGAAAAGGUUGUAAAUUGCAUCUAAAUGGAUUUUGUUAGCAGUGGUGGCAAUGGGUAUUUGCCCUUUUUGUCUUUUUUUUUUUUUGGGUCAUACGAUCAACAAUUUAUACCUACACAUACACCUACUCCGACGUUAUGGGAAAGGGGACAGAUUCAAUUGGAUUAUUGGGAAUUGGAGGAGACUAAACUACCUUCUGCUCUGUUGGUGACUUGUUUUGUAGCUGUUGCCUGUUGCCAUGCAAUGGCACAACGAGGAGAGGGUACCAGAUUUUCUUGUGUGAUUCCAGUUUCUGUUAGAAGAGAUCACAAUAAUGUAGGAUCCAGCAAGCAUUAGUAAUGGCGCCAAAAUCAUCCCAAAUAUUGCAUUCAGAAUA